rnacentral:rRNA from 1 species
CAGCAGCCACGGUAAUACGUAGGUGGCAAGCGUUGUCCGGAAUUAUUGGGUGUAAAGGGCUCGCAGGCGGUUUCUUAAGUCUGAUGUGAAAGCCCCCGGCUCAACCGGGGAGGGUCAUUGGAAACUGGGAAACUUGAGUGCAGAGGAGGAGAGUGGAAUUCCACGUGUAGCGGUGAAAUGCGUAGAGAUGUGGAGGAACACCAGUGGCGAAGGCGACUCUCUGGUCUGUAACUGACGCUGAGGAGCGAAAGCGUGGGGAGCGAACAGGAUUAGAGACCCGAGUAGUCCCUGUCUCUUAUAC